rnacentral:rRNA from 1 species
UACGUAGGGGGCGAGCGUUGUCCGGAUUUAUUGGGCGUAAAGAGCGUGUAGGCGGCCUGGUACGUCCGCUGUGAAAACUCGAGGCUCAACCUCGAGACGCCGGUGGAAACCAUCAGACUAGAGUCCGGAAGAGGAGAGUGGAAUUCCUGGUGUAGCGGUGAAAUGCGCAGAUAUCAGGAAGAACACCCGUGGCUAAGGCGGCUCUCUAGUACGGUACUGACGCUGAGACGCGAAAGCGUGGGGAGCGAACAGG